UACGUAGGGGGCAAGCGUUGUCCGGAAUCAUUGGGCGUAAAGAGCGUGUAGGCGGCCCGAUAAGUCGGCUGUGAAAGUCAAGGGCUCAACCCCUGAAUGCCGGCCGAUACUGUCAGGCUAGAGUCCGGAAGAGGCGAGUGGAAUUCCUGGUGUAGCGGUGAAAUGCGCAGAGAUCGGGAGGAACACCCGUAGCGAAGGCGGCACUCUGGGCCGGUACUGACGCUGAGGAGCGAAAGCGUGGGGAGCAAACAGG
rnacentral:rRNA from 1 species